GUUUAAGCAAGAUGAAUUUUAGUAUAAUGCUUUUAAAGCAGAUGAAGAUGUGCUGAACUCUAUUUUAUUUCAUGCAUUGCUGAAAGAACCAUAAGCAAUUGUGUAUUUAAGUGUAAGAAGAAUUAAAUCUAGAACCAUAUGGAAACAUGCAUUAAAUUCAUUUGGUCAACUUAAGUGGCUAGUAGAAAUCUACAUUGCAUCAAAAGCCAUGACAAUUGUUGGAAGAAUUUCUGGCCCAUGGUGGCAAUGGAACUCAGAUUAAGAAGCCCACACUUGUUGAUGCACAAGUUACAUGAAGUAGCGUUUGAGAAAAGCAGUGAUUGCUUGUAUUAGGUGUAACGGUGAGGCUCCAACCACUAGAGGAAUUG
rnacentral:misc_RNA from 1 species